GAACACUCGGAGGGGACGGAAAGCUGGCUAGAUGGACGGGCAGUGACCAGCGGCUCCAGGUCUAGCUGGCAGCCGGUGUCGGCGGGCGGUGAACACUCGGAGGGGACGGAAAGCUGGCUAGAUGGACGGGCAGUGACCAGCGGCUCCAGGUCUAGCUGGCAGCCGGUGUCAGCGGGCGGUGAACGCUCGGAGGGGACGGAAAGCUGGCUAGAUGGACGGGCAGUGACCAGCAGCUCCAGGUCUAGCUGGCAGCCGGUGUCGGCGGGCGGUGAACACUCG